rnacentral:rRNA from 1 species
AUUGAACGCUGGCGGCAGGCUUAACACAUGCAAGUCGAGCGAGCGGCGGACGGGUGAGUAAUGUCUGGGAAACUGCCUGAUGGAGGGGGAUAACUACUGGAAACGGUAGCUAAUACCGCAUACCAUCAGAUGUGCCCAGAUGGGAGUAGCUAGUAGGUGGGGUAAAGGCUCACCUAGGCGACGAUCCCUAGCUGGUCUGAGAGGAUGACGCGCCACCCGUGCACUGAGACACGGUCCAGACUCCUACGGGAGGCAGCAGUGGGGAAUAUUGCACAAUGGGCGCAAGCCUGAUGCAGCCAUGCCGCGUGUGUGAAGAAGGCCUUCGGGUUGUAAAGCACUUUCAGCGAGGAGGCGUUACUCGCAGAAGAAGCACCGGCUAACUCCGUGCCAGCAGCCGCGGUAAUAC